rnacentral:tRNA from 1 species
GCCUUCGUGGUGUAAUGGUCAGCACACUGAGCCGGUAUUUCAGAGGUCGGCGGUUCGAUUCCCGGCGAAGGAA